rnacentral:lncRNA from 1 species
GUACACAGUGCUCCCCCCCGGCUAUUUACAGGCUAUAAACAGAAGCAGGGCUAGCUUUUCAACUUCUCCUCCAGCUUCAUCAUGUCCAUGGGGGUUGUUUUGGCGACCUCAAAGAAGACCCUGUGUGAGUACUUGGUGCGCACAGCCUUCAGCUUGUCACAGGGCUGGUAGGUGAGCAGAAAGUUCAGCCUUUUCACCAAGGGGUGCAGGUCCUGAGCGCAGUACCCGCUGUAAUACUCCAGCGUGGGGGUCCAGCCACCCAGGUUCUUCAUGGUGAGCGCCAACAGCAAGCUGCUGGCAGCCAGCUUGGAGGGACGCUCCCGUGCGUAGUCGUACUCCUGCAGGGUCAUCUCACAGACAAAACGGGCCAGAGUCAGCGUCUCCAUGGAGGCACGGGCACACUUGGCAAAGCGCCGCAGGAAGCGGUAGGGGAUGGGGAUGUUGAUGUCGAAGUUGAGGGUGCGGAGGAUGCUGGUCUCCAUGGCAAUGAGCUCUUCCCGCUUGUAGGCAUCGUCGCAGAUGUACAGGAAGUCAUCCACGCACGGAGGGCAGCGCUCCUCGAAUUUGGAGGCGAUGAGGACGGCGGUGGAGCCGAUGAGCUGCAGCUUGUCCCUCAUGCUCACCACCUCCACCAGGUAGUGGUCCACCAGCUUCACUGCCAGGUACAGCGUCUCGUGGUUCAGCUCAAAGUUUUCCUGCACCUCCACCAUCCAGUCCACUAGGAUGGCACGCAUGUCCCUGCUGAUGUCUGACUGCUUCUCCAUGUAAUCAGGGAGCAGGAACUUCUCCCUCUCCCGCAUGUAGUCGAAGAUCUCCUUGGCGUACUCAGCAUUGGCAUAGGGGUCUCCCAGCUGCUCCUUGUCUAUGUCCUCCACCACUGGGACCUGCUGCACAGGCUCCUCGGGCACAGAAUCUUUCUCAGGCUCCACAGGAACAUCUGCUGGGGGGGUUUUCCUCAAUGACUUUUUCAGGUUGAUCUCAUUGUUCUUGGCCACUAUGGGGGCAGGGGGGGCCCUCGUUGCUUUGCGGGCGGGAGCUUUCACCCCCUCCUUCUUCCCUGUCACCACCUGGUUCUUGUGAGCGUUGGUGAUGUCCCCAAACGCUGACCUCUUCUUGGGCCCUCCCUGGGGCGAGGAUGGGGAGCGCUUGGCCUGGCAGCCCUCCUCCUUCUCGGGGGGGACAUUCUCGGUAACGGAGGGCGCCUUGCUGGCUCGGGGCUGCUUGCUGCUCUGUGCCUUGCUGCUGCGUGCCACCGGCAUCCUCCUCCUCGGCCUCUGCACGCAGCCGCCGCCGGCCCCGGCUCUUUUGAAAGUAGCAGCGCGGCGACGGCUGCCGGCACUGGUCGAGCC